rnacentral:lncRNA from 1 species
GGACGCCGGCGGUUGGGCGCCGUCGCGGCGUGAGAGAGAGAGAGAGAGGCAGCUAGGGUUUGGGGCUCUCGUCUCCUGAGGGAGACGACAACAGAAUAUAUUGUUUAUUGUCUGCUUAAUAUCGAAGGGAUACAUGUGUUUAUAUAGGAGGACAGCCUCCACUAAACCCUAGAUAACUUGGACUCUAAUACAACUUGGACUCUAAUAUAACUUGGACUCUAAGAUAGGUAAGAUAACUUGGGCUAAGCCCGUAAUUAACCCUGCCCAUUGGGCCUCCUCCGUUGGUAUGUUGUACCGGUCAUAACAUCUCUCCCCGCCUUCUCAAACAGCUCGUCCUCGAGCUGAACAUCUGGAAACUGCUGGCGGAAAUCGUCGAGCUUCUCCCAAGUCGCUUCCUCCUCUGGCAGGCCGGUCCAUUGUACCAAGACAUGCCAGACGCCGCGACGCUGUUGCGCCUGUAGCACCUUCGCCACCUGUGCGGAAGCUGGAAGGAGGCGACCAUCCGAAGUAGGAGGAAGGGCCGGUGUCGCUGCAGGAGGGUCCCCGCGGUAGGCCUUCAGUAAGCCGACAUGGAAGACGUCGUGGAGGCGAGAACCAGCUGGCAGCUCCAAGCGGUAUGCGAGUGUGCCGACACGCUCCAGCACACGAAAGGGACCGGCGUAGCGAGGUCCCAAUUUGCGCUUGGAGCGCGGGUCCAGAGACUGCGUGGUCCUGUGGAGGAGGCGCAGCCACACCCAAUCGCCCACCGCGAACUCCGCCUCGCGAUGAUGAGCAUCGUAGUACUUCCGAGCCAGCUGCUGUGCUUGGAGAAGACGCUGGCGUGCCUCAGCCAGAAUGUCGUCGCGGGUGCGGAGUAAGUCGCCCGCCGUCUCGGACCGAGCCGUCCCAGGCUCGUAAGGGAGCAUCGCCGGAGGUGGGCGCCCGUAGACCACCUCGAAAGGCUUGGUGCGUAGGGCGGAGUGAUAGGAGAUGUUGUAGCAGUACUCCGCCCACGCCAGUCCACCCAAGCUCGUGGACGAUCACCAGUAACACAGCGCAGGUACAUGGCGAUCACCUUGUUGACCACCUCGGAUUGGCCGUCUGUCUGAGGGUGGAACGCCGUGCUCAUGUGGAGCUUCACGCCCGCCAGUCGAAAGAGAUCCCGCCAGACAUGUCCCGUGAACACGGGAUCACGAUCGCUGACGAUGGACGACGGAAAAACCGUGGAGGCGGACGAUGCCGUCGAAGAAGGCCCGCGCCACGGAGGCGGCUGUAUAUGGAUGACCCAGGGCGAUGAAGUGCGCGUACUUGGAGAAGCGGUCAACACCGUGAGGAUGAUGGAUUUGCCGCCCACCUUGGGAAGGCCCUCGAUGAAGUCCAUGGAAAUAUCCGCCCACACCUGGGAGGGUACGUCCAGCGGCUGCAGUAGACCCGCGGGUCGUAGUGUCCCCGUCUUGUUCCGCUGGCACGUCACGCACGACCGCACCUAGUCGCGGACCAUCGCGCCAUCACCGGGGAUGUAAAAAUCAGCACGAAGACGAUGGAGAGUCUUCUGCACGCCCUCGUGCCCUGCAGAGUGCGCUAAGGUCAGGACCUGGUGGCGCAGGUCGCCAUGGUCGGGCACGAAGAUGCGGCGGCCAUGUAGGAGUAGCCCCUCGUCCAAGCGCCAGGGCGCGUCCAGCUCGCCGGCGUCAAGGCGCUGGCGCAGGCCCUGGGCGUCCACGGCCGUCGAAGUUGCCCGGCGAAUGUCGUUGAUGAAGGCGAAAGAUGGCCCGGAGCGAAUGCACAUGAUAGUGCCAGCCAUGGCGACGUCGUCCGCGACAUCCUCAGUGUCGCGGCGGGACAAGGCGUCGGCGACCGUGUUGAGACGGCCGGGGCGGUACUCAACGGUGAAGUCGAAGCCAAAGAGCUUGCUGAUCCACUGGUGUUGCGGAACUGUGGAGAGGCGCUGGUCCAGCAAGAACUUGAGGCUGUAGUGGUCCGUGCGCACACGGAAUGACCGGCCCCAAAGAUAAGGCCGCCAGUGGCGCACCGCCUGAACCAGCCCAAUAAGCUCGCGCUCGUAGGCCGCGAGCUUGUGAUGGCGAGCGGCGAAGGGGCGGUUGAAGAAGGUGAGCGGUCCCUCGCCCUGGUGAAGGACGGCGCCGAAGCCGAUGCCAGAGGCGUCGCAGCCCACGAUGAACGGCAUAUCAAAGUCCGGCAUCUGGAGGACGGGUCCCGUCGUGAGCGCCCGCUGGAGAGCCUCGAAUGCCGUAGUCGCCUCCUCGUCCCAGGAGAAGGCGUCGCGUCGAAGGAGACGCGUCAGUGGCGCGGCGAUGAGGCCGAAGUCCCGGAUGUACUUCCGGUAGUAGCCGGCGAGGCCCAAGAAGCCGCGGAGCGCCCGCGGUGACCGCGGGAUCGGCCACGCGGCGACCUUGUCCGCGUCCAUCGCUACCCCUAAACCCUAAAACCCUAAACCCCUAAACCCUAACCCCUAAACCCUAAACCCUAAAACCCUAACCCUAAACCCUAACCCUUAAACCCUAAACCCUAAACCCUAAAAACCCUAAACCCUAAACCCUAAACCCUAAAACGCUACCCCUAAACCCUAAACCCUAAACCCUAAACCCUAACCCUAAACCCGGCGCCGGCGGUUGGGCGCCGUCGCGGCGUGAGAGGUAGAGAGAGGCGGCUAGGGUUUGGGGCUCUCGUCUCCUGAGGGAGACGACAACAGAAUAUAUUGUUUAUUGUCUGCUUAAUAUCGAAGGGGUACAUGUGUUUAUAUAGGAGGACAGCCUCCACUAAACCCUAGAUAACUUGGACUCUAACUUGGACUCUAAUACAACUUGGACUCUAAGAUAGGUAAGAUAACUUGGGCUAAGCCCGUAAUUAACCCUGCCCAUUGGGCCUCCUCCGUUGUUACGUUGUACCGGUCAUAACACCCUUAUUGCCAACUGAACUUCCUUAAGUAAAAUAUUGCAAACAUUGCUGCUGGACUGCGGCACGAUUCUAAAUUUAUGUCAUAAGUUGCGCCUAAGUGGCCCGGUAGAGGUUUACCUGAAAAUAGCUCUCACGAGUCACAAUGAUAUGGACAUCUGAGCAUAUAGUGCCACUGAAAUUGUAGUUUAGGAUUAUUGCCUUUUCCUGAAUGCAAGCCACAUGAGCAUUGUAAUUGGACCACUAUGAUAUUUAACUAUGCAUAUUUAUGGAUGUUGGGAACUGGGGAUGCUUUAAGUUCUAGUUGCAUACCCAUUUACCAAGCAAUGCUGCUGUGGUUGUUAUGUAUGCAUGAUGACUUGUGC